CCUACGGGCGGCAGCAGUGGGGAAUGUUGCACAAUGGGCGCAAGCCUGAUGCAGCCAUGCCGCGUGUGUGAAGAAGGCCUUCGGGUUGUAAAGCACUUUCAGCGGGGAGGAAGGCGGUGAGGUUAAUAACCUCAUCGAUUGACGUUACCCGCAGAAGAAGCACCGGCUAACUCCGUGCCAGCAGCCGCGGUAAUACGGAGGGUGCAAGCGUUAAUCGGAAUUACUGGGCGUAAAGCGCACGCAGGCGGUCUGUCAAGUCGGAUGUGAAAUCCCCGGGCUCAACCUGGGAACUGCAUUCGAAACUGGCAGGCUAGAGUCUUGUAGAGGGGGGUAGAAUUCCAGGUGUAGCGGUGAAAUGCGUAGAGAUCUGGAGGAAUACCGGUGGCGAAGGCGGCCCCCUGGACAAAGACUGACGCUCAGGUGCGAAAGCGUGGGGAGCAAACAGGAUUAGAUACCCCGGUAGUC
rnacentral:rRNA from 1 species